AGAGUUUGUUAGCUGGCUAAGCACCUACCUCUGGGCAAAGUGUAAAGCCCAAAGACAGACUCACAAGCUAGCGAUGAAAGAAGUGAUGGCAUGGAUCCGCCCGGCUGCCCGGCGCCACCUGCAGGCGAACCCUCCUUGUAAUUCCCUAGCGGCCCCACGACGGAAACAAAGCCGAAGCUCAUCAUGGCGGGAAACGGCGCCGGGGUCCUCGGAUAGCACACACGACCCCAUCCUCCAGAUCGGGGCCUGCAGGCGCACCCAACCAACCUCCCACUCUGCGAUACCAACAACCCUCAACCAGAAAAGCGCAACCCCGCACGCGAAUACUCACAAAGCCGUCUGUGGCGCUGACCAGGACGCAGCGAGGCUGUUGGCUGGUGGGCGAAAAUGGCGGACAGUCCCUCCACGGCCCACAGGAGAGGGAACCUCGAAGGGGCACAUGUCCCGCCACGCUAGAAAAGGCAUCGGGUGAAGAGAAACGGACUGAUCCACACAGAGGCCCACGGCCUGCGACCCUGUUUGAGACGCAGGGAUAUUUACCCCAUGCAGACGGAGACAUAAAGUAUCUCAGUUACCAUCUCACCAAGGACUAUGGACACUGAACAAUGCUAUGCUAUCAGAAACACGGACUCAGCAAAAGUUGGUAUCUUACAGACUAGCAUAAAACACCUUAGUCCCACACUGGGGCAACCAUGCUCGUCUGGAUGGUCUCUCUCUUAAACCAGUCACACACGGAUAAAUGUUGUGCCGGAGGCCAGUUCAAAGCCAGAGGUCCUCAGAUUUACCUAGCCUGGUUAGGAAGCCCCCACUAGGCUCCUAUUGAGCCACGUUGUUUUAAUGUUCUUCAAGCUGUU